CGGGCUGAGCGGCCGCGUGAUAUGUAGCCGAAAGGUAUUAUCAUGAGGAAAGUCCGGGCUUCACAGGGCAGGAUAACGGAUAACGUCCGCCGAAGGUGACUUCCGGGAAAGUGCAACAGAAAUAGACCGCCGCAUUUAUGCGGUAAGGAUGGAAAGGCGAGGUAAGAGCUCACCGUCGCUGCGGUAACGCGGCGAGCCAUGUAAACCCUAUCCGAAGCAACGCCCCGCGCAGAAAGCGGUUUGCCCGACCCGAGCGAGAGCUCAGCGCGAGGAGGCAUUACCCGAAAGGGUAUAAGCCGCAUGGAGACAUGCGGCGAAGAUAGAUGGUCGCUCCAGACAGAACCCGGCUUACAGGCCCGGUCG
rnacentral:RNase_P_RNA from 1 species